rnacentral:rRNA from 1 species
CGCUGGCGGCGUGCCUAAUACAUGCAAGUCGAACGGUCUUUCUAUGGAAGCUUGCUUCCACUGAGAAGACUAGUGGCGAACGGGUGAGUAACACGUGGGUAACCUGCCCAUAAGAGGGGGAUAACAUCCGGAAACGGGUGCUAAUACCGCAUAGUUUUUCUUUGAUCGCAUGAUUGAGAAAGGAAAGACGGCCUUUGUGCUGUCGCUUAUGGAUGGACCCGCGGCGUAUUAGUUAGUUGGUGAGGUAACGGCUCACCAAGACGAUGAUACGUAGCCGACCUGAGAGGGUGAUCGGCCACAUUGGGACUGAGACACGGCCCAAACUCCUACGGGAGGCAGCAGUAGGGAAUCUUCCGCAAUGGACGAAAGUCUGACGGAGCAACGCCGCGUGAGUGAAGAAGGUUUUCGGAAUCGUAAAACUCUGUUGUCAGAGAAGAACAAGUUGGAGAGUAACUGCUCCAGCCUUGACGGUAUCUGACCAGAAAGCCACGGCUAACUACGUGCCAGCAGCUGC